rnacentral:lncRNA from 1 species
AAUUUUUUAAAAAAUAACUACAUAUACAUUAAAGAUGAGAAUAUCUUCACCUCUAUUACUCUCCUUGAAUCAAACCAUAGUUUUCCUCUCAUCCUGUUUAUAUCUCACAAUGCUGUCUUGACUAUCUAAAGGCAGUCAGUCAGCCCUAAAACUCUUCCUUGGGAAGCAGAUUCAGGUAGGAAAUGAUUUCCUCAUGCUAUUGAGAUCUACCUCUUGCCAAGAACUUUUGCUGCACAUCAAGGAAAGAACUUCUCUUGUGAUUGUUUCAUGCUUCAGUUCUACUGAAUUUUCUGUGCUCUUUGAACCCUAAUUUGGAACCGAAAUUCCACUUUCUUGUAUUAGGAGUGGUAAAGGAGAAUGUCCGGAAAUGCAUCUGUGUUUAAAUGUGAGUCCUCCGAGUUGCUAGAUGCUUUGGUCUUGGGCUUAUGAAGAAAAUGAAAAUCAGCUUGAAUGACCUGGCUGCCACAGCACAAAUCAGAGUCACUUUCAUUCCUCGUCUUCCAGCCUUGACUUGCUCUAAUGUAAUCUUGUCUGCUGAAGCAAGAGGUGUGACCACUGUGUUAUUAUCUGCAGUUCAGCUCUAAACUCCUUUGGCCUAACGGCCCUGGGGCUUUCCCUAUCCAGCGUACCUGUCUUUCUGAUUAUGCCACCCUACGAAAGUGAGCACUGGCCUCUCCAACUGCCCCCUCUGCUCCUUCAGCCUAUAACCCGAGUGUUCUAGCAACCUCUACUAAUGCUACUGUUCUGCCACAUUUUUGUGCCAUGCAAGGGUAAAUAAAAGUUACAUGCCUAUCAGAAAAUCAAGAGUUUCAAAGUAAAUAUAAGUUCUCUCAUCAUCUCUAAUUGUCACUUGCUGUGGAUGUCAAACUGACAGAGUAGCAGAAUCUAAUUUCCUUGUUUGAUUCACCAUGAAAUUAAACUGAACUGACAAUUUUUAUUUUCACCUGGCAAAUUCAUUCGACACUAUUUAAAUCUAGCUAAUCAAGUACAGUUAUCUGCUCUGCACACUCAUCUCCCCUACCACACCUCUGAUUUGCAGUAUCCCACUUCCUGGACUCCCUCCGACAGCCGUGCUUUGGAUUACAUUUACAGUUUUUGAAGGUGUAAAGGAACGCAAGAACAUAGUUAGCCAAGGUGCCAGCAAACGUAUCAUGUCACAAAAUUACUACUGAAAGAUGAAAAAAAAAAUUAAAAAGUAAAAAACAAAAUACUGUUCAAAAACCCAAACAGUCGGAUGGUUUGGCGAAGCCUGUGCUCAGUAGAGUAGAAAUGUAGUUCUGAAGUUAACUGACUCUUAGGGAAAAAAAGAGUUUAACCUCUGGAAGAAAUAAACAUCAUUCAGAAAGAGUACUGUAGUAGGAGGUGCCAGAUACGUAUUUUUCUGAUGAUGAAAUGAGGCCAUUUGUCAGUGUGGGAGUGGCCACUGAUAGAUGAAUUAUAAUUGGAGUUUUCAAAAAUAAGGAAGGCUCUGCAUUCUGGAGCCAUUAUACAAUGUCCCAAAGCAAAGACAUAUCUAGAUAUUGUAGGGCACCCGAAGGCUAUAAGUCUUGCAAGGUAACUAUUGGCCAUUACCAGCAGCUCUGAAGGGAUAACUUCAAGGAUCCUCAAUAAAUGAAUGAACUUGGACUCACUGAGUCACAAGACAUUAAGUGGGUUUCUUGAUAUCUGAGUCCAAGAGGAGGUGCAUAUUAUCUAGACCCAAAGCUGUAAGUGAUACCAUACUGUCACCCCAAACAUCUCCUCAGUUCUAGGCCCACUUCUGGAUUUUUACAAUGGUUCAUCACUGACAUGUGUCUAACCUUUCUUUGCUCUGAAACUGAAGCAAAUUUUCAUGAGCUGAGUACCAAUCCCAUGACAUCAUCAAAGAUGAGCAGAGACUCUGGAUUGAUACAUUUGAGACACAAACUAAAAUAUUUCUGUAUGUUUACUGAAUAUAAAUACAAAAGAAUCUGAGUAAAUAUGUAACUCAACACUUAGAGAAAUGCAUACUCUGCAUAAAUAUCAGCCUACAACUUCAGAAGGGCAUUCAUGGACAUCUUGAAGCCCUUCCAUUAACUAAACAUAAACACAGCUACCAUUUUCUACAUGCUGGACACUGCCAACAUCAUAGAGAUAUCAUCUCACACCAUCUGGCCUGGCAUCUUCACCCCCACUGGGAAAAUCAUUAAAUUAAAAGAUCUAUGCCACUCACUCAAGGAAGUCACAUGAACUUGCCCUUGUGACAAGCUACUCAAGUACAAACAUAUACCUGCAAGGUAGAAGUGGCUGCCAUUGUAACUUUAAUUUAGGGCCUCUAUCUUAAGGCACAUAUUAUUUUCAUUGUUCCCAACAUCUUAACAUAUAUGACAUUUCCCUUUAUAGGCAAUCCAUCAGGCAUGAAUCUCAAUAAUAGCAGCUCUGGAGAAAGACUGGUGGAAUCUCUAUUUCCCCCAGGUUUCCCCAAGUGACUUUUGCAUCAACCAUGUCAAUUGAAUUUCUUUUGCACCACACCCAAUAUAUUACUCAAGAAUUUUUUUUUUCAAAAGGAGGUGUAGAAACUUAAGUUUAUUUAUAUGGUUUAGAUCUUAAAAGCCCUGAAAAAAGGCAUUAUUAUCCCCAUUUGAUAGAGUGGGAAGCAAAGGCUCAGAAAGGCUGUAUAACUUCCUCUUCAACAGAGGAUAAGUAUAACUCAUAUAUAACUUCAUGAGUGGUAAAGCAAGAUUUAGAAUGCAUUUGGCCUAACCUUAAAUCUCAAGUUCCGAGUUUCUGUGCUCUAUUGCUCUAGACUUCAGAGUAAGAAAACUAGCUUAACAAAAUUACAAAAUUGAUGAGAGAUUAUCCAACAUUAGCUGGAAUAGAACAAGUAGUUAAGAAGUUGACCUUAAGUAUCUCAUAAAGUAUCCAGGUUAUUUCAGGCUGAGAAGUAACUUUAGACAUUUCAUUUCACAAAACCCAUCCUAUUCACUGCCAAGAGUACCUUCACAAAUCUCCACCCAGACAGUGAGUUCCAUUUACUGGAGGACUUUGUGAUUACCUAUGGCCAAACCCAAGAGAAAGGAUGGAUCCAAGGAGACUCUGAAUCCUGAAGUCUUUUUUAUUUUUAAUUUUUAAAAAAUUUUAAUUAUUUUUAUUUUUUCCAUUACAGUUUCCAGUGUUCUGUCAAUUUCUACUGUACAGCAAAGUGAUCCAGUCAUAUAUAUAUAUAUAUAUGUGUGUGUGUGUGUGUGUGUGCAUAUACACAUACAUAUAUACAUAUAUAUUCUUUUUCUCACAUUAUCCUCCAUCAUGUUCCAUCACAAGUGAUUGGAUAUAGUUCCCUGUGCCAUACAGCAGGAUCUCAUUGCAUAACCACUCCAAAUGCAAUAGUUUGCAUCUAUUAACCCCAGGCUCCCAGUCCAUCCCACUCCCUCCCCAUCCCCUUUGGCAACCACAAGUCAGUUUUCCAAGUCCCUGAGUUUCUUUUCUGUGGAAAAGUUCAUUUGUGCCCUAUAUUGGAUUCUAAAUAUAAGUGAUAUCAUAUGGUAUUUGUCUUUCUCUUACUGAUCUACUUCACUUAGUACCUGAGUCUCUAGUUCCACCCAUGUUGCUGCAAAUGGCAUUAUUUCAUUCUUUUGGGGGGCUGAGUAGUAUUCCAGUGUGUAUAUAUACCACAUCUUCUUAGUCCAGUCAUCUGUUGAUGGACAUUUAUGUUGUUUCCAUGUCUUGGCUAUUGUGAAUAGUGCUGCAAUGACAUAUGGACGCAUGUAUCUUUUUCAAGGAAAGUUUUGUCCAGAUAUAUGCCCAAGAGCGGAAUUGGCUCCAUGGAAACUUAAUGAUCUAACCCUAAGAAGCACAUUUAGGACAAAAUCAAGAAUUUACACAGAAGCAAAAUGGCUAAGUACAGAUGAUGUUAGAGGAGCAAGUGCUAACAAGCAGAAGAGAAGCAUAGGAGCCAAUAACACUGAUUGGUAACACAGAAUGGAGGGCUUGGGGAAAGCUGAGACCCACAGGAGUAGCAGAAGAGGGGCUGUCAGAAUAUUUCUGAGGAAUGGAAUUUCUGUAGUGGCUCAGCAGAAAUGAAUCUGACUAGUAUCCCUGAGGAUGCAGGUUCAGUCCCUGGCCUCACUCUGUGGGUUAAGGAUCCAGCAUUGCCAUGAGCUGUGGUGUAGGUUGCAGACACUGCUCUGAUUUGGCAUUCAAACAGUGGCAUAAAUCAGCUGCUAUAGCUCUGAUUCGACCCCUAGCCUGAGAACUUCCAUAUGUUGUGGGUGUGGCCCUAAAAAGACAAAAAAAAAUGUUUCUGAGGAACUGAAGCCAGACGAAGUGAUUUGCAAAAAAAUUAAAAGAGGACAAAAAAGGAAAGAAAAAGUGCAGGGCCUCAAUGUUCUGUUCUUACUCCACUAUAGGUUAUGGCUGGGGAAGAAGGAGAAGCAUGAGCAGGGCUUUGACAGACUAUUUCCCUAUGAAGAUCAUUCCCAGAGAGAAAAAAGUAGCCAUUUGACUACAGAUGCAGGUGCAGUUAAGGAAGUGAGCCCAACGAUGCUCAUUCUCAAAUAUAUGCAUGUU